rnacentral:misc_RNA from 1 species
GAACGGAACGUUAUUGGACAA